rnacentral:rRNA from 1 species
AGAACGAACGCUGGCGGCAUGCCUAACACAUGCAAGUCGAACGCUUUUGGGGCUUCGGUCCCAAAGGAGUGGCGCACGGGUGAGUAGCGCGUGGGAACCUGCCCUGUUGUGGGGGAUAACCGAGGGAAACUUCGGCUAAUACCGCAUACGCCCGGGGGAAACUCCGGGGAAAGAUUUAUCGCAGCAGGAGGGGCCCGCGUCGGAUUAGGUAGUUGGUGGGGUAACGGCCCACCAAGCCUGUGAUCCGUAGCUGGUCUGAGAGGAUGAUCAGCCACACUGGGACUGAGACACGGCCCAGACUCCUACGGGAGGCAGCAGUGGGGAAUAUUGGACAAUGGGCGCAAGCCUGAUCCAGCAAUGCCGCGUGAGGGAUGAAGGCCUUCGGGUUGUAAACCUCUUUCGAGCAGGGACGAUAAUGACGGUACCUGCAGAAGAAGCUCCGGCCAACUACGUGCCAGCAGUCGC